UUGGAGGGCAAGUCUGGUGCCAGCAGCCGCGGUAAUUCCAGCUCCAAUAGCGUAUAUUAAAGUUGUUGCAGUUAAAAAGCUCGUAGUUGAAUUUCGGGAUCAAUAUGUCGGUCGUGCCAUCGGUACGUACUGGUAUCAUUGGUCUCUCCUUUCUGACGAACCAUGAUGUCAUUAAUUUGGUGUUAUGGGGAGUUAGGACUGUUACUUUGAAAAAAUUAGAGUGUUUAAAGCAGGCAUUAGCUUGAAUACAUUAGCAUGGAAUAAUGAAAUAGGACGUUCGAACCUAUUUUGUUGGUUUCUAGGAUCAACGUAAUGAUUAAUAGGGAUAGUUGGGGGCAUUAGUAUUCAAUUGUCAGAGGUGAAAUUCUUGGAUUUAUUGAAGACUAACUACUGCGAAAGCAUUUGCCAAGGAUGUUUUCAUUAAUCAAGAACGAAAGUUAGGGGAUCGAAGACGAUCAGAUACCGUCGUAGUCUUAACCAUAAACUAUGCCGACUAGGGAUCGGACGAAGUUAAUUUUAUAAUGACGCGUUCGGCGCCUUACGGGAAAC
rnacentral:rRNA from 1 species